rnacentral:rRNA from 1 species
AGCGAACGCUGGCGGCAGGCUUAACACAUGCAAGUCGAGCGGGCACUUCAGUGUCAGCGGCAGACGGGUGAGUAACGCGUGGGAACGUGCCCUUCGGUUCGGAAUAACUCAGGGAAACUUGAGCUAAUACCGGAUACGCCCUUAUGGGGAAAGGCUUGACUGCCGAAGGAUCGGCCCGCGUCUGAUUAGCUAGUUGGUGAGGUUAUGGCUCACCAAGGCGACGAUCAGUAGCUGGUCUGAGAGGAUGAUCAGCCACACUGGGACUGAGACGCGGCCCAGACUCCUACGGGAGGCAGCAGUGGGGAAUAUUGGACAAUGGGGGCAACCCUGAUCCAGCCAUGCCGCGUGAGUGAUGACGGCCUUAGGGUUGUAAAGCUCUUUUCUCCGGGACGAUAAUGACGGUACCGGAGGAAUAAGCCCCGGCUAACUUCGUGCCAGCCGCCGCGGUAAAAC